AGCUCCUCUUUUUCCCUCCCCUCCCUCCUGCUCCCACCCUCUUGAUUAGUUCUUCAUGGGAGUCGACAGCCUCCUCUGUCUCCCUCGGAUCGGCUAGUGGUUUCAAACUGCUGAUGACAAGAUAAAACGCAGAGAAACCUCAGCUGAAACAAUAACAGACCAUGGACACCUGGAAUAACUUUAAGGAUGGAUCGAAAGGGGAAACGUGAUAAGAUAUCUACCCCAGGCCCAAGCCGCCCGCCCCUCGCCCACAGCCCGGCCCCUACGACAACAGUGGAGGCUACUCCAACGACCACAACGGAGGGCACUACCCACCCAGACCCCGGCCUCCUGCAGG